rfam:Triticum urartu cultivar G1812 contig625786, whole genome shotgun sequence.
GUCCCUUGGGGACAUCCAAUUAAAUUGCAAUGAUACAAAGAAGAUUAGCAUGACCCCUGUCUCUGCAUAAGUAUAACACAAACAAAUCUAGAUCAGAUUAAUAGCUAA